UACGUAGGGGGCAAGCGUUGUUCGGAAUCAUUGGGCGUAAAGCGCACGUAGGCGGCCCAGCAAGUCGGGUGUGAAAGCCCUCGGCUUAACCGAGGAAGUGCAUUCGAAACUACUGAGCUUGAAUACUGGAGAGGAUCGCGGAAUUCCCGGUGUAGAGGUGAAAUUCGUAGAUAUCGGGAGGAACACCAGUGGCGAAGGCGGCGAUCUGGACAGAUAUUGACGCUGAGGUGCGAAAGCGUGGGUAGCAAACAGG
rnacentral:rRNA from 1 species